GAUGAACGCUGGCGGCGUGCCUAAUACAUGCAAGUCGAGCGAACAGACGAGGAGCUUGCUCCUCUGACGUUAGCGGCGGACGGGUGAGUAACACGUGGAUAACCUACCUAUAAGACUGGGAUAACUUCGGGAAACCGGAGCUAAUACCGGAUAAUAUAUUGAACCGCAUGGUUCAAUAGUGAAAGACGGUUUUGCUGUCACUUAUAGAUGGAUCCGCGCCGCAUUAGCUAGCUGGUAAGGUAACGGCUUACCAAGGCAACGAUGCGUAGCCGACCUGAGAGGGUGAUCGGCCACACUGGAACUGAGACGCGGUCCAGACUCCUACGGGAGGCAGCAGUAGGGAAUCUUCCGCAAUGGGCGAAAGCCUGACGGAGCAACGCCGCGUGAGUGAUGAAGGUCUUCGGAUCGUAAAACUCUGUUAUUAGGGAAGAACAAAUGUGUAAGUAACUAUGCACGUCUUGACGGUACCUAAUCAGAAAGCCACGGCUAACUACGUG
rnacentral:rRNA from 1 species